GACGAACUCUGGCGGCGUGCCUAAUACAUGCAAGUCGAACGCAGUGGGGACGGGUGAGUAACACGUGGGUAACCUCCCAUCAGAGGGGAUAACACUUGGAAACAGGUGCUAAACCGAUACUGAUUGAUGUACCCGCGGGGCAUUAGCUAGGUGGUGAGGUAACGGCUCACCAAGUCCACGAUGCAUAGCCGAGCUGAGAGGGGGAUCGGCGACACUGGGACUGAGACACGGCACAGAAUCCUAAGGGAGGCAGCAGUAGGGAAUCGUCGGCAAGGGACGAAAGUCUGACCGAGCAACGCCGCGUGAGUGAAGAAGGUUUGCGGAUCGUAAAACUCUGUUGUUAGAGAAGCGGUAUCUAAACAGAAAGCCACGGCUAACUACGUGCCAGCAGCCGCGGUAAUAC
rnacentral:rRNA from 1 species